CCUACGUGAGGCUGCAGUGAGGAAUAUUGGUCAAUGGGCGAGAGCCUGAACCAGCCAAGUCGCGUGAAGGAUGACGGAUCUAUGGUUUGUAAACUUCUUUUAUAUGGGAAUAAAGUGAGUUACGUGUUCCUUUUUGUAUGUACCAUAUGAAUAAGCAUCGGCUAAUUCCGUGCCAGCAGCCGCGGUAAUACGGAGGAUGCGAGCGUUAUCCGGAUUUCUUGGGUUUAAAGGGUGCGUAGGUGGUAAAUUAAGUCUGCGGUGAAAGUUUGGGGCUCAACCAUAACAUUGCAGUUGAAACUGGCUGACGUGAGUAUAUUGGAGGUAGGCGGAAUGCGUGGUGUAGCGGUGAAAUGCAUAGAUAUGACGAAGAACUCCGAUUGCGAAGGCAGCUUACUAAACUAGAACUGACGCUGAAGCACGAAAGCGUGGGGAUCAAACAGGAUUAGAUACCCGGGUAGUC
rnacentral:rRNA from 1 species